GCCGUGGCCCGCAUUUAGUGUACCUUUGCCCGUAACGCUGCACGAUUAGAUGAGUCUUGGCCUCCGUGGUGUGCUUUCGCCCGAGAAGAAUUUCGGAAGCUGUGAACAUCAUGGAAACCGUGAAAGCGAAGCGCAAGGAUAACCAAGAAUCGAUGAAGGUUGAAAAGCAGUACGUCGCAACAGAUACUGAAAAACCGGAGGCGGCAAGUUGGGCGGGCUGGAGGACCGCGUGAUUAAUGUUUUGAGCCAGACCGCCGCAGGCUACGCGUCGGUGGAUUUUUUCGCGGAUGACGCCGAGGCAAGCUCCAGUGAGGAGGAGGCCGCUGCCGCCCGCGUGCCUCUCCCGACAGCCUCACCCCAAGUGUCCGUGGGCACAAAGCCGGGGACGUGCGGCACUGCACG